GACGAACGCUGGCGGCGUGCUUAACACAUGCAAGUCGAACGGAAAGGCCCAGCUUGCUGGGUACUCGAGUGGCGAACGGGUGAGUAACACGUGGGUGAUCUGCCCUGCACUCUGGGAUAAGCCUGGGAAACUGGGUCUAAUACCGGAUAUGAUCAACUGUCGCAUGGUGGUUGGUGGAAAGCUUUUGCGGUGUGGGAGGGGCCCGGGGCCUAUCAGCUUGUUGGUGGGGUAAUGGCCUACCAAGGCGACGACGGGUAGCCGACCUGAGAGGGUGAUCGGCCACACUGGGACUGAGACACGGCCCAGACUCCUACGGGAGGCAGCAGUGGGGAAUAUUGCACAAUGGGCGCAAGCCUGAUGCAGCGACGCCGCGUGAGGGAUGACGGCCUUCGGGUUGUAAACCUCUUUCACCAGGGACGAAGCGUGAGUGACGGUACCUGGAGAAGAAGCACCGGCCAACUACGUGCCAGCCGCCGCAUAA
rnacentral:rRNA from 1 species